rnacentral:rRNA from 1 species
GUGAGGAAUUUUCCGCAAUGGGCGAAAGCCUGACGGAGCAAUGCCGCGUGAAGGAUGAAGGCCUAUGGGUUGUAAACUUCUUUUCUUAGAGAAGAAUAUUGACGGUAUCUGAGGAAUAAGCAUCGGCUAACUCUGUGCCAGCAGCCGCGGUAAUACGAAGGUCCCAAGCGUUGUUCGGAAUCACUGGGCGUAAAGGGAGCGUAGGCUGCGCGGUAAGUCAGGUGUGAAAUCCCGGGGCUCAACCCCGGAACUGCACCCGAUACUGCCGUGCUAGAGGGUUGGAGAGGUGACUGGAAUUCUCGGUGUAGCAGUGAAAUGCGUGGAUAUCGAGAGGAACACUCGUGGCGAAGGCGAGUCACUGGACAACAUCUGACGCUGAGGCUCGAAGGCCAGGGGAGCAAAAGGGAUUAGAAACCCCUGUAGUCC